rfam:Skermanella stibiiresistens SB22 contig14, whole genome shotgun sequence.
AUCGGGGUCCGGGCCCCUCUGGCGGACGCUUGAAGAAGCGCCGCGAUGUCGGACCCCUCCA